rnacentral:sRNA from 1 species
ACCUCUAUAAUACGACGGUUUUUUCGGUGAAGUGAUAUUACGUUAUAAAACUACCUUGUUUAGGUGGCGAGGGCCAAAAUGCUUUCCCGGAGGGGAUUUGGUUCAGUAGCGUAAGUACGCUUUGGUGUUCAAUUU